rnacentral:pre_miRNA from 9 species
GCUUAUUUUGUGUUUGUGCGUGAAGCUAACGAUGUAACCAGGUGGUUGAAUCGAUGCUGAUCUAUGAAUUAAACUGAUGCCGGAGGAUAUGUUCGUUAGAUUCACGCACAAACUCGUAAUACGUCU